GGCUAACGCUGGCGGCGUGUCUUAGCCAUGCAAGUCGAGCGGACUUAUGGGGUAACUUAUAAGUCAGCGGCGGACGGCGGAGUAACACGUAGCUAACCUACCCUCUGGACGGGGAUAACCUACCGAAAGGUGGGCUAAUACCCGAUGUAGUCAUCCUGUAUAGGGGUGAUGAAAGGUGGGCUUCUGUUUACAAGCUCAUGCUGGAGGAGGGGGCUGCGGCCUAUCAGGUAGUUGGUAGGGUAAUAGCCUACCAAGCCGAUGACGGGUAGCCGGCCUGAGAGGGUGACCGGCCCGAGGGGCACUGAGAUACGGGUCCCACUCCUACGGGAGGCAGCAGGCUAGAAAUUUGGGCAAUGGGGGAAACCCUGACCCAGUGACGCCGCGUGCAGGAAGGAGCCCUUCGGGGUGUAAACUGCUGUCGUGUAGGGAGAAGGGUACUAAGGUGAACAAUCUUAGUACUUUGACGGUACUACAGGAGGAAGCCCAGGCUAACCUCGUG
rnacentral:rRNA from 1 species